rnacentral:piRNA from 1 species
GGGGGUNUAGCUCAGUGGUAGAGCGCGUGC